UUACUUUUUGCAUGUUUAGGGAGAAUUUAUCUUAAGGUCACACCUUAAGCACAGGAGGGAAGGUGCUCAUCGCUGUGUCCUCCUCCAUGGCCGUGUCUUCAGGCUGAGGUGCAAGGUGUCAGCCAUGUGUAUACUUACACCUGAUCAUGUAGUUGUGAUGGCACAUGAUGCAAAACAGUGAUCUUCAGGAAGCAAGCAAGAUAUCAGCUGUACUGCUUGCAAUUAACCCAUCUCAUCCUGAACUAGGAAAUGAUGAAAAUUACACUGAAAAAUUAAAACACUAAGAGGAAUCACUGCUGGAAACUCUUGCUUUGGGGUAAGUCCUCCAUGGGCAUUAUGAAGAUGGGAAUUUUCCUUGCCUACAUAUGAGAUGUUCUGUGCAGGAGGCAGCAUAUCUACAUGCUGGCAAGAGAUGGACUGAAUGUGUAAGUUCAGUGUGAGUUGUGGUCAGGCUCUAAGUCACAUCUCAACAGCAGCAGCCUGGUGUGCAUUGUAAUGUGCUGAAAUCCAUGUGUCAGUCACCUUAGGGCAUGAAGGAGAUUCCUAAACCGUAAAAAUAAGUCACAAGAGGGACCAGUGUUCUAUUCACAAGAUUGGGCAUGUAUCACUGUGCCGUAUGAGCCAGGAUGAAAUACAUGACUCUGGUCUGAAGAUGUACAACUCUAUCUAAUUACAGACUCAGCUGGGAAAUGAGCACUGUCUCCUAAACUACCUUUUGACUUUAAUUCUGGGACCAAAUGUGUUCCAGUUAGGCAAACUCAAAAAGACUAGUUUUGAUAAUUUCUGGACUAUUUUACCUGCCUAACUUUGUCUUGAAAUGACUGAUUGUUCUAAUGCUUGUCCUUGACAUAGCAGUUAAAGGAGAUAAAACCUUACAGCAGUUAAACUGAUAGAUUCUGGGUGAAAACUGUAUCUCAUGGCAGCAGGCUUCCCACACCAGUGAGUACAGAUUUGACAUAUCAGCAAAUGUCUUGUAAAUGUUGAAUUCAUAGUUGAUGUUAGGUAGAACCAUAGAUUAGUUUAGGUUGGAAGGGACCUUUAAGAUCACAUAGUUCCAACCCCCUGCUAUAGGC